CCAAUAGCGUAUAUUAAAGUUGUUGCAGUUAAAAAGCUCGUAGUUGAAUUUCGGGAUCAAUAUAUCGGUCGUGCCAUCGGUACGUACUGGUAUCAUUGGUUUCUCCUUUCUGACGAACCAUGAUGUCAUUAAUUUGGUGUUAUGGGGAGUUAGGACUGUUACUUUGAAAAAAUUAGAGUGUUUAAAGCAGGCGAUAGCUUGAAUACAUUAGCAUGGAAUA
rnacentral:rRNA from 1 species